rnacentral:rRNA from 1 species
CUACGUGCCAGCAGCCGCGGUAAUACGGAAGGUCCGGGCGUUAUCCGGAUUUAUUGGGUUUAAAGGGAGCGUAGGCCGGAGAUUAGGUGUGUUGUGAAAUGUAGACGCUCAACGUCUGACUUGCAGCGCAUACUGGUUUCCUUGAGUACGCACAACGUUGGCGGAAUUCGUCGUGUAGCGGUGAAAUGCUUAGAUAUGACGAAGAACUCCGAUUGCGAAGGCAGCUGACGGGAGCGCAACUGACGCUGAAGCUCGAAGGUGCGGGUAUCGAACAGGAUUAGAUACCCUGGUAGUCCGCACAGUAAACGAUGGAUGCCCGCUGUUGGUACGUGGUAUCAGCGGCUAAGCGAAAGCAUUAAGCAUCCCACCUGGGGAGUACGCCGGCAACGGUGAAACUCAAAGGAAUUGACGGGGGCCCGCACAAGCGGAGGAACAUGUGGUUUAAUUCGAUGAUACGCGAGGAACCUUACCCGGGCUUGAA